GUGCUCGCUUCGGCAGCACAUAUACUAAAAUUGGAACGAUACAGAGAAGAUUAGCGUGGCCCCUGCGCAAGGAUGACACGCAAAACACAAGGAUAUCAUCGCAUUCUC